UUAUCGUUUAUUUGAUAGUGCCUUUCCUACUUGGAUAACCGUGGUAAUUCUAGAGCUAAUACAUGCUAAAAAUCCCGACUUCGGAAGGGAUGCAUUUAUUGGAUACAGAACCAACGCCCUCCGGGGCUUUCUGGUGAAUCACAAUAACUCCGCGGAUCGCACGGCCUUGCGCCGGCGAUGGUUCAUUCAAAUUUCUGCCCUAUCAACUUUCGACGGCUGGGUCUUGGCCAGCCGUGGUGACAACGGGUAACGGAGGGUUAGGGCUUGACCCCGGAGAAGGAGCCUGAGAGACGGCUACUACAUCCAAGGAAGGCAGCAGGCGCGCAAAUUACCCAAUCCCGACUCGGGGAGGUAGUGACAAUAAAUACUGAUCCAGGGCUCUUUUGGGUCUUGGAAUUGGAAUGAGUACAAUUUAAAUCCCUUAACGAGGAACAAUUGGAGGGCAAGUCUGGUGCCAGCAGCCGCGGUAAUUCCAGCUCCAAUAGCGUAUAUUAAAGUUGUUGAGGUUAAAAAGCUCGUAGUUGAACCUUGGCCCUGGCUGGCCGGUCCGCCUCACCGCGAGCACUGGUCCGGCCGGGGCUUUCCCUCUGGGGAUCCUCAUGCCCUUCACUGGGUGUGCUGGGGAACCAGGACUUUUACUGUGAACAAAUCAGAUCGCUCAAAGAAGGCUCUCGCUCGAAUGCUUCAGCAUGGAAUAAUGAAAUAGGACGUGCGGUUCUAUUUUGUUGGUUUCUAGGACCGCCGUAAUGAUUAAUAAGGGACAGUCGGGGGCAUCAGUAUUCAAUUGUCAGAGGUGAAAUUCUUGGAUCAAUUGAAGACUAACUACUGCGAAAGCAUUUGCCAAGGAUGUUUU
rnacentral:rRNA from 1 species